UCGGCAAUGGGGGAAACCCUGACCGAGCGACGCCGCGUGCGGGAUGAAGGCCCUCGGGCUGUAAACCACUGUCAACGGGGAGGAAAUGCAGAGGGGUUCUCCCCUCUGUUUGACCUAUCUGUGGAGGAAGUACGGGCUAAGUUCGUGCCAGCAGCCGCGGUAAGACGAACCGUACAAACGUUACUCGGAAUUACUGGGCUUAAAGGGUGCGUAGGCUGCGCGGAAAGUUGGGUGUGAAAGCCCUCAGCUCAACUGAGGAACUGCACUCAAAACUACCGUGCUCGAGGGAGACAGAGGUAAGCGGAACUCAAGGUGGAGCGGUGAAAUGCGUUGAUAUCUUGAGGAACACCGGUGGCGAAGGCGGCUUACUGGGUCUUUUCUGACGCUGAGGCACGAAAGCUAAGGUAGCAAACGGGAUUAGAUACCCCGGUAGUCUUAGCUGUAAACGAUGAGCACUUGUUUGAAGGGUCCUCCAUAGCCUUUCAGACGUAGCGAAAGUGUUAAGUGCUCCGCCUGGGGAGUAUGGUCGCAAGGCUGAAACUCAAAGA
rnacentral:rRNA from 1 species